UUCGUUUUUUAUAGGAUGG
rnacentral:miRNA from 1 species